GCCGUAAGAACAGAUGAAGCUUCCCUAGCUCACCAGCCGCUCGUCUCCUGCUGUGUGGCCUGAGAUCAAUACUGGCCAACACAUGAUGGGACAUUUUUCUUGACCCUCUCCAAUGUGAAUUACUUCCUUUUAUAUGGAAGAUUGUGAGCCCUUUGAAGAACUGAUGGAAGCUAUUGGACAGUAGAAGACACAGAGUGUACAUGCAGAAUAACUGUUGAUUGUGCUGGGAGUGCAACAUCUUGAGAUAAGAAGGAACUGCCUGGAACAGUCCAGGGUCUCUCCCUGUCCCUCCUAGAACAAGAUGUCCUGCAACACUUGUGCUCAGUGAGUCAACUUCCCCUAGGUAUAAAACCUAGAGUGGAGCAUCUUUUGGCGUCCCUCGGCUGUGGUGCUGCCUAGGGCAUGUGCAGAUGGACUCUACCCACCCUGGCCAGCUUGCCUGAGCCUUGUCGGGGAGCAGGUACCCUAGGCUCCUGCUGUCCCCUGAUGCCGAUCCGUGAAUAAUAAAGUUGCUUUUCUUAA
rnacentral:lncRNA from 1 species